rnacentral:rRNA from 1 species
CCUACGGGCGGCAGCAGUAGGGAAUCUUCCACAAUGCGCGAAAGCCUGACGGAGCAACGCCGCGUGGGUGACGAAGGUCUUCGGGUCGUAAAACUCUGUUGUCAGGGAAGAAAGUGCGUGAGAGUAACUGUUCACGUUUCGACGGUACCUAACCAGAAAGCCACGGCUAACUACGUGCCAGCAGCCGCGGUAAUACGUAGGUGGCAAGCGUUAUUCGGAUUGAUUGGGCGUAAAGGGCACGCAGGCGGUCUUUUAAGUCAGUUGUGAAAGCCUAGGGCUUAACCGUAGUAAUGCAUGGGAAACUGGAAGACUGGAGUACAAGAGAGGAGAGUGGAACUCCAGGUGUAGCGGUGAAAUGCGUAGAUAUAAGGAAGAACACCGGUGGCGAAAGCGGCUCUCUGGCCUGUAACUGACGCUGAGGUUCGAAAGCGUGGGUAGCAAACAGGAUUAGAUACCCCGGUAGUC